AACGAAGGGGGCUAGCGUUGUUCGCAAUUACUGGGCGUAGAGCGCACGUAGGCAGACUUGUAAGUUGGGGGUGAAAUCCCGGGGCUCAGCCCCGGAAUUGCAGUCAAGACUGCAAGUCUGGAGGUCAGGAGAGGCGAGCGGAAUUCCGAGUGUAGAGGUGAAAUUGGUAGAUAUUCGGAGGAACACCAGUGGCGAAGGCGGCUCGCUGGACUGGUACUGACGCUGAGGUGCGAAAGCGUGGGGAGCAAACAGG
rnacentral:rRNA from 1 species